rnacentral:rRNA from 1 species
UACGAAGGGGGCUAGCGUUGCUCGGAAUCACUGGGCGUAAAGGGUGCGUAGGCGGGUUUUAAGUCAGAGGUGAAAUCCUGGAGCUCAACUCCAGAACUGCCUUUGAUACUGAGAAUCUUGAGUUCGGGAGAGGUGAGUGGAACUGCGAGUGUAGAGGUGAAAUUCGUAGAUAUUCGCAAGAACACCAGUGGCGAAGGCGGCUCACUGGCCCGAAACUGACGCUGAGGCACGAAAGCGUGGGGAGCAAACAGGG